rnacentral:snoRNA from 1 species
CAUCUCCUAUCAGUCAGGGAUGAAGCAAUCCCUUGUUCAUCCCCAGCUUGGCUUUUGAUCUAUGCCUGGUUCAUGGCUUGGACACAUGG